CCGACGUCGGCGGCGAGGAAGGACGGAGGAGCGCCGGAGCCGCUUUGCUGCCCUCCGCGUGGUCCCGUGCCUCCCCGACACCAUGGCCCUGGCUGAGGUAGUAGUUUGUGCUGUUGGUCGGGUUGUGACAUUGCCCGCUGUGGAGAUAACUGCGCAAGCUACUGCCUUGCUAGUGCUGGUGAUGCUCAGCGCCGCGGAGGACAAUGGCUGGGAAUCCCCUUUGUUUUCCGGGGCGCUGCCUGGGGACAGCCCGCGAAGCCUCGGCGCCCGGCCGGCGCGGCCACCACGGAAACCGUUCAAGAGAUUCUCCUGCCUCAGCCUCCCAAGUAAUUGGAAUUACAGGCCCAUGCCACCCCACCCGGCCAAUUUUUUUUGUAUUUUUAGUAGAGAUGGGGUUUUGCCAUGUUGGCCAGGCUGGUCUCAAACUCCUGACCUCAAGUGAUCCGCCAGCCUCGGCCUCCCAAAGUGCUGGGAUUACAGGCACGAGCCACCAUGCCGGACCUAUUAGUGUAUUUACUGGAUAUCAAGAUGACUAAGAAAUAGCACUUGCCUUGAAGGAGCUUUUCUAUUUGAGGAAAAAGACAUGUAUAUAAAUAACUGCAAACAGAAUGAAACAAGUGUUAUGUAGAUCUACAUACAGUGACAUGCCAUGGGAAUGCUGAACACUGAGCAACAGUUUCAACUAGCGAAUUGGCACAGGAAACAUGAAAAAUAAGCGUAUUUUCAAUAUGACAAGAAUGGUCAUUUCUGGAUAUAAGAACAAGAGAAAAGUCAUGGGUAUAUGGAAAGGCAUGGACUCUUCAAGGAAGAGCAAGUAGUCUAAUGUAGAUGCUGUAUAGGAAUCUGGGGACAAAGGGACAGAUAAGUGGUGUAGACAAAGAGGCUGGAAAUAGGGUUAUGGGCUAGAUCAUGAGUGACCUGUAAGCAUUAGGAGUUUUGAUUUAUUUUGGAAUAAGAAACAUUUAUGGCUUUUGAGAAGGAAAAUUACACAAGGGAAAAGAAAGGAUUUUUAUUUUUUAUUUUUAUUUUUGGAGAGAUGAGAUCUCACUAUGUUGCCCAGGCUGGUCUUGAACUCCUGAACUCAAGCAAUCCUCCCGGCUCGGCCUCUGAAACUUCUAGGAUUAUAGGCGUGAGCCACUACGCCCAGCCAGGAUUAUGUUUUUUUAUGGGAGGGAUGAGAAUAUUGGUAGGUGGGUAGAGGAUAAAUGAGAGAGAAUAUGUAUAUGUGAGAUUGAAUAUAUAAUAGAAAAAAUUGAUAGGACAAGUCCUGCGUUAUUACUACAUUUUAUGAGGAAAAUCUAUAUAUUAGAAGCACUUUAAAGGUAUAUUUGCUAUUCUAGCUGUGGAAACCAUCUGAAAACACAUUUGAAAGUGCUUUGAAACAGGGGUCAACUUCUCUGCAAAGGGCCAGAGUAUGUUUAGCUUUGCGGGCCACAGAUGGCCUCUGUUGCAUAUGCUGCUGGGUCUCCACCUUCCUCCUCCUUUUCUUCCCUUCCUCUUCCUUCUUUUUCUUCUUCUCUUUCUUCUUUCUCUUUAAAAGCAUAAAAUCAUUCUCAGCUCUUGGGCCAUACAGAAACAGGCCAUAGGCCAGAUUUGACUUCUAGGCCAUAGUUUGCCGACCCUCCAUUUUAGAACUUAGCUUUCCUGAAAGAGCAUUUGGGUCUCUCUCUCUCUUUCCCUUUCUCUCUCUCUGUCUCUCUCUCUCUCUCUUUCAGUAAGUGAAGUAAGAAAUAGGUCUUUCUUGAGGAACAAAAAGCUGAAAUAAUUUCAUGCAUUUGAAUAUGACCCUUGACCUGUUUUUGUCCAUCAUCACUCAGAUUUGUGGCUGCAACCACCAACCAAUUUGGUGCCAUAGGAUAUAGCAUAAUUUUUCAGCAACAGUUCAUAAGCUUUUCUUUUUGUUCUUUUUCCUUCUUCCAGUUGUGGUGGUUUAAAAACAUGUCUGCAAAAUCUUUGACACUUCUCAGUAAAAAAUAUAGUCUUGUGUUCCCUUUUCUUGAACCUAAGUGGCCUUUGUGCUGCCUCAACAAAUAGAAUAUGACAGAAAAGACACUAUGUGACUUUUGAGACAGGGUCAUAAGAGGUGAUACAGCUUCCCCAUGCCCCUGCAUUUUAGAGCUCUGGGUUGCCAUGUAAGAAUAGCUACCCUGAAGCUACCAUGCUGAAGAGACCACAGGGAAAUCACAUAGAGUUAGAAAGAGGUGUCUGAAGAAGCCCAGCUGCUCCCAAUCCCAGCUAUUUAAGUCCUCCCAGACCAGGUGCCAUAUAUAUGAGUGAGCAAGCCUUCAGAUGGUUCCAGCACCAGCCACCAUCUAGCUGUAAGCUCAUGAGACCCCUUCAACGAAAACCAUCUAGAUUAGCUUAGUCAAGCCCCAGAACCGUGAAAGACAAUAGACUUGCUAUGGAGGUCGCCACAUGCCUCUUUUUUCUCCCUUUGUGAAUGGGAUUAUUUAUAAUGGUUACCCCAUACCUACUCCACUAUGUAUAUUGGGUAUGAGGGAGAGAUAAUUUGUCUCACUAGCUGACAGAUUUUUCAGACCUCAAGGAAUGCCACGUGAGCUGUACUCACAGGACCACACACAAGUAUCUUUAUCCACACGUGACCUGAUUUCACUGAUAAAGUCCUGGACCUUGAGCCUGAGCCCAAUGUCUUAAUAAAUGAGAAUUUCAGAAGGUCUUGGGAGGGGGUGAGUAUAUUUUGCAUGUGGGAAGGAUGUAAAUAAUAUGUGGCCUGAGAGCAGAUUAUGGUGGUUUGAAAAUGUGUCCACCAAUUCUUUAAUACUACUCUCAACAAGAGGUGGAAUCUGUGUCUCUUCCUUUGGAACAUGAGUGGACCUUUGUGAUUAAAUGCAGCAGAAGGAUGCUGUGUGAACUCUGAGACAGGGUAAUAAGGGGUGAUACAGCUGCCACCUAGUUCUUUCUCAGAACAUGUGCCUUUGGAGCCCUGAGCUGCCAUGGAAGAAAACCACCUACCCUGAAGCCACAACACUGGAAAGACCAUGUGGAAGAACCACAGAGAGAGAGAAGAGGACCAAAUGUGUGAGCCUUCCCAGCCCAGGCUCCAAAUAUGCAAGUAGUAAGCCUUCAUUUCUUUUUGGUUUUAAUUUUUUUUUUUAAAUAAAUCGAAAUGGGUUCUCACUAUGUUGCCCAGGCUGGUCUUGAACUCCUAAGCUCAAGUAAUCCUCCUACCUCAGUCUCCCAAAGUGCUGGAAUUGUAGGCAUGAGCCACCAUGCCCGGCUGCAAUUAGUAAGUCUUCAGAUGCUUCCAUCACCAGCCACCAUCCGAUGACAACCCCAUGAAUGACCCUCAGCAAGAACUACCUAGCUGAAUCCAGCCAAACUCCAGACCCAUGAGAGAGAAAUAAAAUUGUUGUUUGAGUCACUAAAUACGGAGUAAUUUAUAUUAUCAACAGAUAACUGGAACCACAAGUGUAAUUGUUAAAGAGCACCAGAUCCCCUUGACUGCUUUCCAGGGUAAGGAUGCAAGACCACUGAGAACUGUGCCGCGCUGGUAAGAAGAGGUGCUGAUGGCAUGCUGUUGCCUCUGCCAGACAGACUCUGUCUUUGCUGAAGUGUUUAGUAUUGCUAUUGUGGCAAAUGCCAUUUUAGUCAAAGGCAAUAAAUCUUCCUUUGUUUAAAUGACAGAUGGCUAGGAUUGUUACUUCUGUUUCUAGCAAACCCAGAAAGGGAAAAAAUAAAUUACUGACAUUCAGAGUUCUUGUUUUUUAAGAAUAUUAGGGGGAAAAUGAAAAUAGUAUAGUUUCAGCAAAGUUAUAUAGUUUUUGCAGUCAACAGAAUAAUGGGCCCCCUAAUGAUGUUCACGUCCUAACCCCUAGAAUCUAUGAAUAUGUUAGGUUACAGGGCAAAGGGGAAUUAAGAGUGCAGGUGGAAUUAAGAUUAAUUAGCUGACCUUAAGAUAGGGAAUGUAGCAUAAUUUAUCCAGGUGAGCCCAAUAUAAUCACAAUGGAAGACAGAGACAGAAGAAUCAGAGUCAGAGAAGACGUGGCUACAGAGGAGAGAGUGAUGAGAUGUGAGGAUUCUGCCUGCCAUUGCUGGCUUUCAAGAUGAAGGAAGGGGGCCAUGAACCAAGGGGAUGCCUCUAGAAGCUGGAAAAGGUAAGGAAACAGAUUCUCACCUAGACUUCCAGAAAGCUCUGCUGUUGCCUUGAUUUUAGCCUAGUGAGACCCAUUUCAGACUUCCGACCUCCAGUACGUGAAGAUAAUACAUUUGUGUUGUUUUAACCUAUUAAGUUCUAAAAUGGUGAACCCAAUUUCAUUUCUUCUCUCCCUUUACAAGGUAGGUGCUAUUAACAGUGAAAUGACAAUGCAAAAGCAAAGCAGAGGAAAGCACCAGCAAAGGACAUGCCUCGCUGACUGCAGAUUACAGUGUCCUCUACUCAAUUCCUAUCUUAAUAUGUAUCACAUGCCCUGCCUGAGAUAAUGAGGACUCUCCCAUUCCCUCAGUCUUCAGGUUGCCUCUACUUCUCUUCCAUUUUCUUUUUCCUUGAUAUGAUCCUCUUCUUUCUCAUUCUUCUCUUCUUUCAUUUCCUGAGUUGUUUUCUCUCCACUUCUUCCCCCUCUACUCUGAUAGGAAAUAUUAUAGCAGUAGCCCAAGCUAGAAGAAAAAGGACACACCUACCAGCUCCCUCCCUCCCUCACAACACCUACACGGCUGCUGGGGAAGCCUUGAAUGAAAGCUAGAAAAGAACAAAUAGGAAAAGAGGCAUUUGAAAACAGAACAGAAAUAGUCACAGACGGGUGACAGGCAGGAGAUGCCACCUCAUUGACAGCUGCCACCAUUUUCCAUAGAGAAGUUAUUCCAUUGUAGUAUACACCAGGGCUGGGUUUAAAUAUUUUUCCUAUGUACUUGGUAGUAUAGUGGAAGCUCCUCCAUUUCUCUAAAUAGUUAACUGCAUACUUAGAGCUCUUGGUAGCGUUUAGAACACGGAGUUAAUUAUUCUGAGUGUACCUAGCCCCAUCACUGUCUGUAAUCUGUACAAAAUUUGAUAAGCCCUUUUAAGGUAGUUAGAUAUUUAUUGAGACUCUGCUGUAUAUUUGGCAGUGCCCCAGAUAUAGGUAGUGGUGGUGACAGCAAGCAAUAGGACCAGUGGAGCCUGCUUUUUAAUAGAGAGUGAUCUCUCUGGUAUUGUUGUAAGUACAGCAUAUAAGCAACUUGAGGUGUUGUCUUAAAGAUGUGAGCUCACCUAAUUUACACAAGAGCAUCAAAGCCAGAAUUCCUCCCCUUGCUGAUGUUAGCCUGUAACUCUGUGCCUCUCAAGUGUAUAACUUCUUCUGUGGGAAUCAUGCUUCUGAAGCAUGAGGAAAGAACACACCCGUGUUUCCACUUUCUCUGCUGCUUUGCAUGUGAUCCCUCCAGGUAUGCAAAAUAAUGCCUCAAUAUCAUUUUGACCUGUGUUGUCAUUUUACAUAUUUUAUCAGAAGACUUCAUAUCGGAUGGAAGCAAAUCUUUAGAAGGGUUGUUAUAACAACUUGAACAGCCCAUCAUGCUCUAGGCAUGCUCCCUAUCACGGCUAUGUUUUCAUUCAUUAGAGAUGGAGGAGGAGGCGGCUUAAAAUGUGUAAUUCUAAUCACCUAUUCCUACAGCUCUCUAACUGGUCUCCGUGGCUUCUCUUGCCUUCCUCCAGUCUUGCCCGUGAACCUUGAUUAGAGGACAACACAACACUAACAGCCACUCCUCCCUCUCCCUCCUGACUCCUUAUUUGAGUUAGAGGCUCUCGUAACACCUGCGUCUUCCCCUUUGUCAGCAGUCAUCACAACGAAUUGUGAUUGCCUAUUUACUCAUCUGCAUCUCCCACUGAAUUCUGAUCCAUGGUGGCUGGCCCAUGCCUGUCUUGUGUACAUUUGCAUGUAAACCACUUAACCCAAGUGCCAGGAAGCAAACAGUACACGCAGGUGUGUGGAGUGAUUGAAAGCUAAUUUGCUACCUAAGAAUGUACAGUGAUUCCUCAGUGUUUAUUAGAUCAGGCCCAGACUCUUCAUUUCAGUUUUCAACUCCUCUGAUUUUUCUUUUAUACAAGCUUUCAGAUCUCCUCUUGGUUCUCAUCUAGCUCUUGCAUCUUUAUGCCGUGGGUUGAUUCCUCUGCCUGCCUAUCUGUAGUAGCUUGUCUCCUAGGAUGGCUGCCAUCAAUUUCUUCUCUUCUGUAUACACAUGCCACUCCCGCAUUGAGAGAUGGAGUCUUCUUUCCCCCUGGAAUCUGGUCUGGCCUGUGACUAAUUUCAAUAAUAGAAUCUUGCAUUUCUAUUGAAACUACCAAAAAAAAAAAAUUGUGUCAGCUACUACAGCUACUAAGUUUUGGGAUGGUUUGUUAUAUGGCAAUAGAUAUCCUCAAUACCAUUCUUCAAAGUCCCAAACCUACAUUUUCUGUGAAGCCUUACCUUGCUAGUCUAGUUAACACUGAUCUCCUCCUUCUCUGAAGUUCUGUGGGAAUAGAACUUUGUUGAUGCCACACAUUUUGUUAUCCAACUGUAUGUAUUAUUACUUUUCCUUUCCUGAAUGCCAGUAUGAACUCCAUGACCAAAUUAUAUGGUCUUUGAAGAUACCAAAUAGUGGAAAUAGGUCUUUUGUAAUCCCUUCAACAAGUCCUAGUACUGAAUAAAAAUGUAAUGGCUGUUGAAUUGGAUUAAAAGUAAAAAUAUUCUUGGCCAUUUUAGCUCUCUGC
rnacentral:lncRNA from 1 species